GGAGAUUUAGCUCAGUGGUAGAGCGCUUGCCUAGCAAGCGCAAGGCCCUGGGUUCGGUCCCCAGCUCCA
rfam:Rattus norvegicus chromosome 7, whole genome shotgun sequence.